rnacentral:misc_RNA from 1 species
GAUGAAGAACGCAGCGAAAUGCGAUACUUGGUGUGAAUUGCAGAAUCCCGUGAACCAUCGAGUCUUUGAACGCAAGUUGCGCCCGAAGCCACUAGGCCGAGGGCACGCCUGCCUGGGCGUCACACGCCGUUGCCCCCCCAUCUACUCCUUCGGGAUUGCGGGGGGGCGGAUGAUGGCCUCCCGUGCGCCUAGCCGCGCGGUUGGCAUAAAUACCAAGUCCUCGGCGACGCACGCCACGACAAUCGGUGGUUGCGAAACCUCGGUUGCCCGUCGUGUGCGUUCGUCGCGCAUCGAGGGCUCGAAAAAAUGCUCGGCUCCGGCUGGGCUUUCAACGUGACCCCAGGUCAGGCGGGGUUACCCGCUGAAUUUAAGCAUAUCAAUAAGCGGAGGA